AAGCCAUGAUUUGAUCAUUUUAUCAACAUCACUUUGAAUCUCUCCCAUGUUUCACAAAAGGCUUCAUCAAAUCCUUGUUGGAACAUAGAAAUAUCAUACUUUUCUUU
rnacentral:snoRNA from 1 species